rnacentral:rRNA from 1 species
AUUGAACGCUGGCGGCAGGCCUAACACAUGCAAGUCGAGCGAGCGGCGGACGGGUGAGUAAUGUAUGGGGACUGCCCGAUAGAGGGGGAUAACUACUGGAAACGGUGGCCAAUACCGCAAACUAUCGGUUAACCCAUAUGGGAUUAGCUAGUUGGGGGGGUAAAGGCUCACCUAGGCGACGAUCGCUAGCUGGUCUGAGAGGAUGAUCGGCCACACUGUGACUGAGACACGGCCCAGACUCCUACGGAGGCAGCAGUGGGGAAUAUUGCGCAAUGGACGAAAGCCUGAUCGAGCAAUGCCGCGUGUGUGAAGAAGGCCUUAGGGUUGUAAAGUUCUUUCGUCAGGGAGGCGUUACCCGACCAGGAAGCACCGGCUAACUCCGUGCCAGCAGCCGCGGUAAUUC